UAGGGAAUCUUCCACAAUGGACGCAAGUCUGAUGGAGCAACGCCGCGUGAGUGAAGAAGGUUUUCGGACCGUAAAGCUCUGUUGUUGGUGAAGAAGGAUAGAGGUAGUAACUGGCCUUUAUUUGACGGUAAUCAACCAGAAAGUCACGGCUAACUACGUGCCAGCAGCCGCGGUAAUACGUAGGUGGCAAGCGUUGUCCGGAUUUAUUGGGCGUAAAGCGAGCGCAGGCGGAAGAAUAAGUCUGAUGUGAAAGCCCUCGGCUUAACCGAGGAAUUGCAUCGGAAACUGUUUUCUUGAGUGCAGAAGAGGAGAGUAGAACUCCAUGUGUAGCGGUGGAAUGCGUAGAUAUAUGGAAGAAUACCAGUGGCGAAGGCGGCUCUCUGGUCUGCAACUGACGCUGAGGCUCGAAAGCAUGGGUAGCGAACAGGAUUAGAUACCCUGGUAGUCCAUGCCGUAAACGAUGAGUGCUAAGUGUUGGGAGGCUUCCG
rnacentral:rRNA from 1 species